rnacentral:rRNA from 1 species
GUGGGGAAUAUUGCGCAAUGGGGGAAACCCUGACGCAGCAACGCCGCGUGAGUGAGGAAGGACUUCGGUCUGUAAAGCUCUGUUAAUGUGGAAAAAUGGUAGUUGGUCUAAUAGGCCGAUUAUUUGAUGGUACACAUAGAGGAAGCACCGGCUAACUUCGUGCCAGCAGCCGCGGUAAUACGAAGGGUGCAAGCGUUGUUCGGAUUUAUUGGGCGUAAAGCGCGCGUAGGCGGACCUGCAAGUCAGAUGUGAAAUCUCGGGGCUCAACCUCGAAACUGCGUCUGAAACUACGGGUAUAGAAUCUCGGAGGGGGAAGGGGAAUAUCGCAUGUAGGGGUAAAAUCCGUAGAUAUGCGAUGGAACACCAGAGGCGAAGGCGCCUUCCUGGACGAGUAUUGACGCUGAGGCGCGAAAGCGUGGGGAUCAAACAGGAUUAGAAACCCGAGUAGUCC